rnacentral:rRNA from 1 species
GACGAACGCUGGCGGCGUGCUUAACACAUGCAAGUCGAACGGAAAGGCCCUGCUUUUGUGGGGUGCUCGAGUGGCGAACGGGUGAGUAACACGUGAGUAACCUGCACUUGACUUUGGGAUAACUUCAGGAAACUGGGGCUAAUACCGGAUAGGAGCUCCUGCUGCAUGGUGGGGGUUGGAAAGUUUCGGCGGUUGGGGAUGGACCCGCGGCUUAUCAGCUUGUUGGUGGGGUAGUGGCUUACCAAGGCUUUGACGGGUAGCCGGCCUGAGCGGGUGACCGGCCACAUUGGGACUGAGAUACGGCCCAGACUCCUACGGGAGGCAGCAGUGGGGUAUAUUGCACAAUGGGCGGAAGCCUGAUGCAGCAACGCCGCGUGCGGGAUGACGGCCUUCGGGUUGUAAACCGCUUUCGCCUGUGACGAAGCGUGAGUGACGGUAAUGGGUAAAGAAGCACCGGCUAACUACGUG